rnacentral:lncRNA from 1 species
CUCGGUAAAUGAAUGAGGAGAGCCCCAUGUGGGAUUACAAACUUGCUGGAAAUGGAUGAGAAACCUUCUGCUCUGCUGGAGUUUAUCUUGAGUGUGCCUUAAAAUUCCAUUUCAUGGAGAACUGUGCGUGGUUGAAUUUUGAUUGAUUACUCAAUUAACUGAUGUAUUGGUAGAGUGAUUAAGAAAGAAGACUUUGGGAUCAGACCAACCUGGUUUUGAAUUCAAGCUCAGCAACUUACUAGGUAAGGAGGAGAAAAGAAAGAAGGAAAAAUUGGAAAGAUAAAUGGGGUCUUUCCAGUGAAGCUGCAGUUAUGGCAUUAACCACCCAGUUGUUACCUACUUCUAGAUGAAAGCUCAAUUUUCCUACAUAAUUAAGAGUUUGGAAUUCGGGCAAUAUCAAGAACCACAUCUGUCCUGAAAUCAAUUAUCUCUGUUUGGAAUAUGGAUAUGAGAGAUCACUUUGCUGUGCUGUAAAUGAUCGAUUAAAAUACAUAUUUCUAAACACAAGAAAUAAGAAGACCAUUUUGAGAAGAACAGAGAGUAGCCUUAAGAAAAUCCCUGUCGCAAGCACUCUGGGAUUUGGACUCAAAUGCUAAUUAUACAAGUGAGAAUAAUAUAAACACUGAAGAAAAAUAUGGUCCCGUAGCUUUUCAUUGGAAAAUCUGUUGAGACAUGCAGAGCUGAGGCAUCUGGAUAUCUACCCUGCAAAAUCCCUAGAGAUGAGGAAAUUGAGAUACAGAAAGGUGAAGAAAUAAUGUCACAUAGUAGUGGAGUCAGAAUAAAAAUGCAGACAGGUAGGAAACCAGAGGCUCCGGCAAGUGAAGUGACUUGCUCAAGGUCAAAGAUAUGGAACCACUUGGGUGCCCAGCUGCUGUCCAUUCUCUACACUUAUCCCACCUGAUGGAAGGCUGUUAAGAAAAACAUCACUGCAAUGCCUAAUAAACAGACAUGGGUCCCAGACCCAAUAAGAGUGAAACCAUCCCCCUAUUUAAAUGAAAUUAUGGCUGAUGAGAAAGACAAAUUAAUUUCUCUGUCCCUAGUAUUACACAAAACUUUGGAUGCUGCCAUUGUUACAAUUUUAUUUUCCCCAGGAGCUCAGAGUCCCACCUUCAUUCUUUUUGUUUAAUGCUUAAGCUUGCCUGUCCACCUAUGGAAGACUAGAAUGAGCAAAGACCAUGUAUUCAAUGAUCUGUAAAUCUAACAGGAAACAAUAUAAUAAAUAUAUUGUGUUUGCUAACCAAA